CAGCGCAUCAAGCAGCUGAGCUGCGGGCUGCGGCAGGCGCUGGAGGGCGGCGUGGAGGGGCUGCGGCCCCCAGAGACCCCCGCCAAGUUCAGCUCCCGGUGGACCACGGAGGAGCAGCUGCUGGCCGUGCAGGCGCUGCGCCGUUACGGCCGCGACUUCCCGGCGGUGGCGGCGCUGCUGGGCACCAAAACCGCCGCCCAGGUGCGGGGCUUCGUGGGCAGCGCACGGCGUCGCUUCGGUUUGGACCGAGCGCUGCGGGAAUGGGAGGCGGAGCGCGGCGGCGGCGGCGGCGCCGCCCCCCCGGAGGAGGAAGAGGAGGAGGAGGACGCGGAGGAAGAGGAGGAGGAGUAGAGAGACGCGAGCGGCGCGCCGGGGGUCACUGCGGACGCCGGGUCGAACCGACGGCUCUUUCUGGAAAGGUUUUAAUCUAGAACCUGGAAAAUCUACAGUUGGCGCUGAAGGGGGUGUGCGCGGCGGUGCUGCCCCUCUACAGCCCCUUUCCCUCCCCCCCCUCAACCCCCCCGGGGCAGCAGCACCCAUGGGUGCCCCCCGAGGAUGAAGUCAGCACCCUCCCCCACCCCCACGCACCCCCCCAGCUGCACCACAGCCCUGGGUGGGGGAGGGGGAGUUCAGCAGGUCAAAGGGAGCGACGCCUCACCCCCCCCCUCUCUUCCCCGGGGGUGGGUGGAGGGAGGGGACGGCCCCGGCCGCUGCCGAGCUCCCCGCCAUCCCCCCCUGCAGGACCCUUCCUGAGUGAGGGGCGGGGGCGGCCCCCCGGUAACCCCCCGGAGAUGGGCCGGCAGCCUCACGACCCGGGGAGGGCACGGGAACCCCCAGGGGAAAGGGGGGGGGGAAUCUCCCCACGUCCCCAUAAGGCCACAGGACAGCCCCGGAGGGAGCGAGGGCGGCCCCGAGGACGUCCCCACAGGGCAGAGGACGAUUUCCCCGUGUCCCCACCGAGGGGCUCCGGGACAGCCCCAAAACGCCCCAUAAGGCCCCACAUCCCCACAUAAGGCUCUGGGCCGUACCUGGGACACGAGGGGGUCCCGGUGUCCCUACAAGGCAGCGGGGCGGCCGGGCGGUCCCGGUGCCUCUGUAAGGCCACAACGGCCGCCCCGGUGGACCCGGCAGACGGAGGACGGGCACCUCAUCCCCGUAAGGCUCCGAGUUGUCCCCCACGGUCAUCCCGGAUCUCCCCCGGCAGCUUCGGGGUCUCACUGCAGGUCCUGGGUCCGUCCCCGCAACCCCGAAUCGUCCCCACGUCCAUCCCUGCAGCUCCUCAGGGUCGGG